rnacentral:lncRNA from 1 species
CGAAGCUUUGGAGAACCUAGAUGGAGGAACUCUGCCUUCUUGCUUAGUAAGCCCAAAGGGGCUCUACACUUUCCUCCACGUCUGGACGAGGAUGAGGGUUUCGACCUCUCAAGCACACCUUUAUCAUUACCCACAUCCCUCUCCGUAAGCUUAACGAUGUCAGCCUUCAUAUCCAUUAGGUCCUCUCCCAGCAAAUCAUCCUCAUUCCCGCCCUCACUCUUAUAUGUGUCAUUUAUCUGCACUGUUACUUGUAAUUUCCAUGUCAUUUAAGGCACCAAUAACCUGAGCAUUGACCGGUAAUACUUCCUCCGUAGGAGAGAAAGUUAACAAGCGAGGAGAGACUGUAGGUCGUUUCGUCACAUCAUCAUCAAGAGCAUGACGAGAUGGAGUGACGAUCAAACUUGCUAUCCUUUUCCCACUACUCUGCUGGGUGUCUUGCAUCAUUACACCAUCAGACUGUUGUGUAGAU